rnacentral:rRNA from 1 species
AUGCUGGAGGUAUCAGAAGUGCGAAUGCUGACAUAAGUAACGAUAAAGCGGGUGAAAAGCCCGCUCGCCGGAAGACCAAGGGUUCCUGUCCAACGUUAAUCGGGGCAGGGUGAGUCGACCCCUAAGGCGAGGCCGAAAGGCGUAGUCGAUGGGAAACAGGUUAAUAUUCCUGUACUUGGUGUUACUGCGAAGGGGGGACGGAGAAGGCUAUGUUGGCCGGGCGACGGUUGUCCCGGUUUAAGCGUGUAGGCUGGUUUUCCAGGCAAAUCCGGAAAAUCAAGGCUGAGGCGUGAUGACGAGGCACUACGGUGCUGAAGCGACAAAUGCCCUGCUUCCAGGAAAAGCCUCUAAGCAUCAGGUAACAUCAAAUCGUACCCCAAACCGACACAGGUGGUCAGGUAGAGAAUACCAAGGCGCUUGAGAGAACUCGGGUGAAGGAACUAGGCAAAAUGGUGCCGUAACUUCGGGAGAAGGCACGCUGAUAUGUAGGUGAAGCGACUUGCUCGUGGAGCUGAAAUCAGUCGAAGAUACCAGCUGGCUGCAACUGUUUAUUAAAAACACAGCACUGUGCAAACACGAAAGUGGACGUAUACGGUGUGACGCCUGCCCGGUGCCGGAAGGUUAAUUGAUGGGGUUAGCGGUAACGCGAAGCUCUUGAUCGAAGCCCCGGUAAACGGCGGCCGUAACUAUAACGGUCCUAAGGUAGCGAAAUUCCUUGUCGGGUAAGUUCCGACCUGCACGAAUGGCGUAAUGAUGGCCAGGCUGUCUCCACCCGAGACUCAGUGAAAUUGAACUCGCUGUGAAGAUGCAGUGUACCCGCGGCAAGACGGAAAGACCCCGUGAACCUUUACUAUAGCUUGACACUGAACAUUGAGCCUUGAUGUGUAGGAUAGGUGGGAGGCUUUGAAGUGUGGACGCCAGUCUGCAUGGAGCCGACCUUGAAAUACCACCCUUUAAUGUUUGAUGUUCUAACGUGGGCCCCUUACCGGGGUUGCGGACAGUGUCUGGUGGGUAGUUUGACUGGGGCGGUCUCCUCCUAAAGAGUAACGGAGGAGCACGAAGGUUGGCUAAUCCUGGUCGGACAUCAGGAGGUUAGUGCAAUGGCAUAAGCCAGCUUGACUGCGAGCGUGACGGCGCGAGCAGGUGCGAAAGCAGGUCAUAGUGAUCCGGUGGUUCUGAAUGGAAGGGCCAUCGCUCAACGGAUAAAAGGUACUCCGGGGAUAACAGGCUGAUACCGCCCAAGAGUUCAUAUCGACGGCGGUGUUUGGCACCUCGAUGUCGGCUCAUCACAUCCUGGGGCUGAAGUAGGUCCCAAGGGUAUGGCUGUUCGCCAUUUAAAGUGGUACGCGAGCUGGGUUUAGAACGUCGUGAGACAGUUCGGUCCCUAUCUGCCGUGGGCGCUGGAGAACUGAGGGGGGCUGCUCCUAGUACGAGAGGACCGGAGUGGACGCAUCACUGGUGUUCGGGUUGUCAUGCCAAUGGCACUGCCCGGUAGCUAAAUGCGGAAGAGAUAAGUGCUGAAAGCAUCUAAGCACGAAACUUGCCCCGAGAUGAGUUCUCCCUGACUCCUUGAGAGUCCUGAAGGAACGUUGAAGACGACGACGUUGAUAGGCCGGGUGUGUAAGCGCAGCGAUGCGUUGAGCUAACCGGUACUAAUGAACCGUGAGGCUUAACCUUACAACGCCGAAG